rnacentral:lncRNA from 1 species
GAAAAACAGCGCACCAUGGCCCUUACACGGCACGAAUAUUCGGGAGAAAAAAAUAAAACAAAACACCGGCUAGGGCGAACAUGAAGAAACUCACAUUCCCAAAUUGAUUUAAUUUUAUAAAUGGAUGUACCAUGUGAAUCUUUAUAGUUUAAAAUAAUUGCUUCCCUGGCUAACGUUUUUUCAUAGCGCAGUUGCAUAGUUUCGUCCUUUGGUUGUGGCAGUGCAACGUCACGCCCUGAGUGAAAACAGUUUGGACACCCGUGCCAGUAGCACCCGUAAAACUCAAAAAUUGUCUUAAGCUCACUGCAAAACCCAUCAACUUUGAACUUAAUCUCUCUCGGCUUAACCUCAAAAUUUCUACCAGCGUGUUUUAUGUCGAUUUUCCAUUCAUGGGCAACCCAGUCGAGCCAUUCCAGGGAUACCAGACUGUGAUUAUCGACCAUCCUAUAACCGUUAAUGGGAAUGAUUCCAAUAGAAUCUUUUUUCAAGACAAUUUUUUGGAACGUUUUUAUACACAUCUGUGCCACUGUAAUACCUGUAAACGGAUCCAAACCUGUCUCACUUAUAAAAAGUUCACGAAAUUUUAGGCACGCUUUCGAGAGAAUUUCGACGUCAAGCCGACAGUAAAAUUCCAGCUCUUUUUGAAAAUUGAAUAUGUAUCCUUCCUUUACUUUUUUAGAAUGCCAAGCAAUCAACUCUUUCCUACCAUCGUUUGACAUAUCGUCGGGACAAAAAUUGUCUAAAGAGGGAAUCGGUCCAAUGUAUGAAUAAUUUUCAGGUCGGUUGAAUAAAUGGGGAAAAUGACCCUUGAAAAUAUCACCCUCGAUAGACAUCAUUUUCGGUAGUUUUGACAAUGGUGCGCUCAAGAAAGACAAACUAUCGAUAAACCUUAAAUUUCCAUACUUUAUGGUUGGAGCUGCCUCGGGGAUGAUGUCGAGUGGUUCAACACCAGAAAUAUUAAAAAUUCCCGGCUGUGAACUCGGAAUGAUGGACAUUAAUGACAGCGAUUGGUCCGGAAAAAGCUUUCUGCUUCACUUUCUGCGCUGGUUUGAUCAUGGCACAGCUAACGGUGUCAUGGUUGCAGGUGCAGGUCUCAUUAUUAAGCAAGCUACAUGUCAUAACAAAAGAAGAAGAAAGAAAAGAAUAAUUGGAUGGUCAGGAAAAAAAAAUCUAUAUUCCUACACGUUAAAGGGAAAAACACAUGGCCCCGUUCAACGAAGUGGCUUUUGAACAUAGACAUUGAAGACGGUACGUAACAUUUCAUGCAUUAAUAUUAAAAUUAAAGGAUUCUCAAAACUGUUUAAAGAGACAAUUUUAGAAACUUCAAAUUCUCUUCUUUCGAUUUUACUUCAAAAUUUCGAUUACUUCCUUUUAUAGCUAUGUAUAUCUUUUGAAAUACUCACCAAUAAUUGAGAGAAAUAGAGCGAGAUAUAUACUUAUAUACAGCGUCCAACCCAGGCGAAAAUGAGGUUCAUCUAAAAACAAACAAUUAUUAAAAUUAAAAUACACAAAUGAGAGAGAUUCAUAUCUAAAUUUUGAAGAAAUAAGAGUUAAAAAUUUUUCUGUGUGAAAGUAUAACAUAUUGCAUACCCCCAAAUUUGAAGGGGAUUGAAAAAGUAAAAUUCUGUAAAUCAAAGGAUAUACAUACCAUAAAUUGUACUCUCGAAUGACCCUUGCUUGAAGACGCGGGUCAACAUAAUCAGAGCGAAUCGCAAAGAUUCUCUCAAAUAAGGGAUACCCAUUGCGAGUAACUAGAAGACAAAUUAACCGCAAGUCACCGGGAUACGAAAAAUUGAACCGAAAGACCUCUCGGUCACACCGGGUAAAUUGGGAGCUCCCGAUAUCUAGGAAACGGUCGACUCGAGACAUUUGACACGGCGGAACAAACAUCAAAACAUACUCCUCCCGAGGGACAAGAAAAUAAAAAUCGAAAUAACGCAUUACCAUAUCCAUAUAGUAAUCCAUAGUAAUGGGACUAAAAAUUUACGAACAAAAACGAACGUGGAGUACGGACGAAGAAGCACGACUGACAAACAGAAAAGACAACCCUUAGCAAGAAACCUCACCUACUUUCACAGAAGCAGGAUGUCGAUACUAGGAACUUUCUCCAAAAGUCGAGGAUUCUCAUUGACUAAUUACAGCAAUUAACAGCGGGAGAUACAACUACUGAUAAUUUGAUAUGCCUAGGAUAUCGCACAAAAUCCCAAAAAUUAAAUGUAAAAAGUCCUUCUUUCUCCAAAAGAACCACCCCGUAGAAAAUAUCCCUAUUUCCCAUCCUUUCCCAUGUAUGAUCACUAUGAUCACUAGAGGAUACCCAUGACGAGUAACCAGAAUAGAAUAUAAACUCAAGUUACCCGGAUAUGAAUAGCUAAAACGAAAGACCUCUCGGUCACACCGGACAAACUGGGACCUCCCGAUUUCAAGAAAACGGUUUACUCGCGACGUCUGACAAGGCGGGACAAAUACUAACACAUACUCCUCCCGAGGGACAAGACAGUAAAAU